GAAAGCACAUACCCGGCAUGGUGCCCAUUUUAUUAUCAACCUCCAUUACCUUUCGUCGCGUCUCUAUUCCUGCCAAAACACGCAAACUCGGUAUGGCUUCUACCUUUCUCCAACGGCCAUUGCUUGAAUUAGGAAUUGCACUUGUUACUAUCAAAAAGCCGGGUUUACGACUUUUCGAUUAUUAUUUUUCUUAACAUUUUACUGGCUUUUCGUCUGCUUAUGUAUAUCCAAAAUUUAUAAUUAUAAUAUAUAUAUGUGUGUGUGUGUGCACCUGAUCGAUAACAAUGUGCGCUCCUAGAGCCACGCGGGUCCGAAUUGCAGAGCUCGGAUGGGAAGAGUGGACACGGGUGAUUGGAAAAACUUGUGAAGCUUUCUACCAAAUCACUAAAUUAGCUUUUACUUUCUUCUUAGGAUGAGUUUGGAGGAGAAUGCGUUAGAGGUACCUGACAAAAAGGACCAUGCUUGCCAAGCGAGCACCUUAUGUACGCAUGCUUUUUAUGAUCUAACCCAUGUCUCUCCGGUGGUAUUCUUAUACCUUCUGAAAGAAUGCUAUUUUUAUGGCACAUGUAAGGCAACAGCAAAGUUUCGAGCCCUUCAGCAUCAGGUUUAUCUUGUGCUGCACAAUGAUCCUAAACCUGGACCAGCAACUUUUAUUGUUCAAUGCCUGUAUAUAUCACCUUUGUUUGAAGAUCAUAGUCGAGGCUUUAGUCACUUGGUUAUAUCUGCUCUUUGCCGCUUCCAUAAAGUAGCAACAACCUCAGAGGACUCCUUGGCGAUGAAAGACUUAGCUGCCAAUCUAUUCCUUGAUAUUGUUAGGGGGCGGGUUUAUCAUGACAAAAAUAUAAUUGUGAAAAUACUGGAAGUUUUUGAUGUUAAACUAACUAAUAUUCGGAGAGCCAUGAGCCAUUUGAAAGAAAAGAAUGAUUCAAGUUUUGGCACAGCGGAAGAAUUCAUCAGGCAGUAUAUUUUUGAGUUGGUAGAGUCCCAACUGUAUAUGAAAGCUGUCACACUAAUGGAGCGCUUCUCUAUCCGCCAGUCUGGGCAGUCAUUUCUCCUUAGCAUGAUUGAUGAUAAUCAAUUCAAAGCAGCAGAGAAGUGGGCUAUAUUCAUGGGGAAGCCAAUGUUGUGCACCCUUGUUGAGAAGUACAUUCGGAGGAACAUGCUAAAGGAUGCCUAUGAGACUAUAAAGAAAAGCAAUCUACAGCAAGAUUUUCCUGACUUUUACCAGAGUUUUGAAGAAAGCUCACUGAAAAAGUUAGCAGAAAAAGGAUGUUGGGAUGUGGCUGAGGCAAAAGCAAACAAUGAUAGACAGCUUGUCGAACAUCUGGUUUAUUUGGCAAUGGAGGCUGGUUACAUGGAGAAGGUUGAUGAAUUGUGUGAUCGGUACUCCUUAGACGGGUUUUCAGAUAUCAAAGUACCUGAAACAAGCAUUAAACAUGGGCGUUAUUUGCAUCUUGAUGAACUGUUUGUUGGAGGCAUCAUCUGGGUUGAUGAAGUAGAAGGUUUGGUUGACGCAACAAGUCAUAUUGAGAGAUGUAAACUUAUCGGAGUUGAUUGUGAAUGGAAACCUAAUUAUGUAAAAGGCGGCAAACCAAACAAGGUUUCUAUCAUGCAACUUGCUACUGAAGAGACAGUUUUUAUCUUUGAUCUUAUAAAAUUACAUGGAGAGGUUCCUGACAUUUUAGACAACUGCCUAGCCCGCAUUUUGCAGUCACCUAGAAUUUUAAAACUUGGGUAUAACUUCGUGUGUGAUAUAAAGCAGCUUGCUCACUCGUACGGAGAAUUAUCAUGUUUCAAGCAUUGUGAAAAGGUUCUGGACAUUCAGAACAUUUUUAAAGAAACCCGAGGAGGUUUGUCUGGGCUUGCUGAGAAAAUAUUGGGGGCUGGUUUGAACAAGACGAGGCGAAACAGCAACUGGGAGCAACGGCCAUUAACUCGAAAUCAAAAUAUGCUGCCCUGGAUGCUGUCGUACUAAUUCACAUAUUCUGCCAUCUUCGCUGUCAGUCUCAGCCUCUAGGCGACAAAUUUGAGUGGAAGUCUUGCAUAGUGACCCACACGGAAAAUGUCAAGAAAACUAGCCAGCAUGCCACAAAUUAAAAGGAGGACCAGCAAGCAUUGUGCCUCCUCACUCCUUGGCUUUCCAUGUUGGAGAUUUUUCUGUUGACCAUUUCAUGAAGUGAUGGUCAUUUGUUAAAAAAAAUAAUAAUAAUAAUAGUAGCGUAAAAUUAACAAUUUACACUUCAUUGUGUAUAUACGUCAAAUUACUCAACGAAUUGAACGGCGGAAACCUGCUUUCUCAUUUGGCA